CCUACGGGAGGCAGCAGUGGGGAAUUUUGGACAAUGGGCGCAAGCCUGAUCCAGCAAUGCCGCGUGCAGGAUGAAGGCCUUCGGGUUGUAAACUGCUUUUGUACGGAACGAAACGGCCCUUUCUAAUACAAGGGGCUAAUGACGGUACCGUAAGAAUAAGCACCGGCUAACUACGUGCCAGCAGCCGCGGUAAUACGUAGGGUGCGAGCGUUAAUCGGAAUUACUGGGCGUAAAGCGUGCGCAGGCGGUUAUAUAAGACAGAUGUGAAAUCCCCGGGCUCAACCUGGGACCUGCAUUUGUGACUGUAUAGCUAGAGUACGGUAGAGGGGGAUGGAAUUCCGCGUGUAGCAGUGAAAUGCGUAGAUAUGCGGAGGAACACCGAUGGCGAAGGCAAUCCCCUGGACCUGUACUGACGCUCAUGCACGAAAGCGUGGGGAGCAAACAGGAUUAGAUACCCUGAUAGUCCACGCCCUAAACGAUGUCAACUGGUUGUUGGGUCUUCACUGACUCAGUAACGAAGCUAACGCGUGAAGUUGACCGCCUGGGGGAGGUACGGCCGCGAGUAGAACGUACGAAGAAGUAGACGCGUGAGAGAGCGACGGACGACGACGAGGGAGGAGG
rnacentral:rRNA from 1 species